AAAAUCAAGCAGAACAAAA
rnacentral:sRNA from 1 species